rnacentral:rRNA from 1 species
CCGAUGACUCGGGGAUAGCCUUUCGAAAGAAAGAUUAAUACCCGAUGGCAUAGUUCUUCCGCAUGGUAGAACUAUUAAAGAAUUUCGGUCAUCGAUGGGGAUGCGUUCCAUUAGGUUGUUGGCGGGGUAACGGCCCACCAAGCCUUCGAUGGAUAGGGGUUCUGAGAGGAAGGUCCCCCACAUUGGAACUGAGACACGGUCCAAACUCCUACGGGAGGCAGCAGUGAGGAAUAUUGGUCAAUGGACGAGAGUCUGAACCAGCCAAGUAGCGUGAAGGAUGACUGCCCUAUGGGUUGUAAACUUCUUUUAUACGGGAAUAAAGUGAGGCACGUGUGCCUUUUUGUAUGUACCGUAUGAAUAAGGAUCGGCUAACUCCGUGCCAGCAGCCGCGGUAAUACGGAGGAUCCGAGCGUUAUCCGGAUUUAUUGGGUUUAAAGGGAGCGUAGGCGGACGCUUAAGUCAGUUGUGAAAGUUUGCGGCUCAACCGUAAAAUUGCAGUUGAUACUGGGUGUCUUGAGUACAGUAGAGGCAGGCGGAAUUCGUGGUGUAGCGGUGAAAUGCUUAGAUAUCACGAAGAACUCCGAUUGCGAAGGCAGCCUGCUGGACUGUAACUGACGCUGAUGCUCGAAAGUGUGGGUAUCAAACAGGAUUAGAUACCCUGGUAGUCCACACAGUAAACGAUGAAUACUCGCUGUUUGCGAUAUACAGUAAGCGGCC